rfam:Phytophthora infestans T30-4 supercont1.28 genomic scaffold, whole genome shotgun sequence.
GGCCUCGUGGUCUAGUGGUAUGAUUCUCGCUUCGGGUGCGAGAGGUCCCGGGCUCGAUUCCAGGUGAGGCCC